rnacentral:precursor_RNA from 14 species
UACUGUAUUGGUGCAGAGCUGUUGACUUUAGGGUGGCUGGACCGCUUAAUGUGUUCAUGUUAAUGCUCAUCAAGCAGUCCAUCCAUCCUUGAAGUUGACAGUCUAAUACGCUGACUGACUG